UCCAGUGCCAUACAGUUUUUUUCCAGUUGGAUAUCAUAUUCUUGUAAUGUUCAAUUUGAAGAUGGUUGAAGGAAAUUAUUUCACAUUACAUAAGAGUUAGAAUCUUAUCAUUAAGUCAUUAAUGAUGAGUUCUAAGGGAAUACACAAAAAGCUGUGACUCCGUCAGUCUGGCUACAGUGCUGAUGACAAAUGUAGCAUUGUUUUUAUUUUUCGUAAUGAGUAAUAUGUAAGGAUUACAGGUACUAGAAUCCAAAAGCACAACUCUGAAAUAGAAACCCAAUCAAAGUUCUUUACUUGUGUUCAGUCAGGGUCAAAACAAAAUGCUGAAAAGCAUUCCGUCAUAAAAAUUAUAAUAGCGUGCUUGUGCUGGUCAUACUCGUAUAGCUAUGAAAUCCCACAGUGUACUUUUGGCUUGAGAAGCCUGAUGCUACGUUCACACCGAAGGCGUCGCCAGCGUUUUGCGCGACAGGAUUACAUACAAAUCUAUCCACAGACGCGAUGACGCUGGAGAGAUGCAAAUCUGCAAUUGAGCAGCGCGUUUCUCCCGAAAUUGCGUCGACUUUGGCGCACUCUACGCAACUUCCCGAAGUCGCCCAAGGAAUUUGACUUGGUGUUUAGUGCAUAACAGUUGUGCAAGGAAUAAAAUAAAAUAUAAUGCUAAGGGUUAGUAAUCUACAGCUAUGAGUUAGUUCAAAAAAUAAAGGAUGACUGAACACCCAAGACAGCAUAAUGCUUCAGGGUGCAGGGAUUGUCCCCAGAAUAGAGAGGUUCGUUGCUGGUGAGGUGGGAAAGGGGAGGUUGAUAGAGAGGUGUGAGCCCCUAAUGGGCUGGGGGAGGGGGGUGGUUGGUGGAGCUGUGAUAGAUGGAGUCAGGACAUUGACUAUCAAAUCUGCAGUAGAACUUGUUCAGCUUGCCUGCCAGGCGAAGGUCAUUCAUGGAGUGGGGUGUUUUCGGCUUGUCGUUUGAGAGGUAGGAAGCCUCAAGCCUCAAGUCUUUGUCCCCACUCCACAAGGUAGUGAAGUCCGGCGCCCGAUCCCUAGGGUAGCCUAUGUAGCUUGAGGCAGCUUGUACACAACAAAAACUAUGACAAAAAAUGUUCAUUAACAACCUUUUUACAUGACUGAGAUAAGAGACGAGACAUAAAUGUAUCUUUAAAAAAAUAAAAACUAUGACUAAAUAUAUUCUAACUUUCGUUAACGAGACGAGACGAAAAUGUUCGUGAUGACCAAGUCACAAUACUUUUUUUCCCCUUGCAUGCACCAAACAGACAUGGGAAACGUAUGGACCCCGUACAGCGGUUGUUAAAGUGUCAUGAUUACAUCAUCCACAAACCCAGACCGUUCGGUCGCUGUGGGGGAAGCGGUUAUUCUUGUGCGGUUUGUUGGUUUAGCCCAGCUGUCUCAGUUUGCCUGCUAGCAGGCUAAAGCCGCGGAACUUCAGAGACCGAUGAGCGUGGAGAUGAAGACUCGACUGCUCGGGGCUAGUCAGCCAGCGGAGAUGUUCAUGCAGACCUGGCUGCUCAGUUUUCUGACGACGGUAGCCAGCUUGGGAAAAUAGUAAACGGACUUGUACACAAAGCUCUUUAACACUACAUUCAUACACUAACGACAGGACCUACCAUACACAGUGCCAACUGCCCAUCAGUAACAUUCACACAAUAUAGUCACAGCCAGUGUCGGCCCUACUUUUUGGCAACCUAGGCCCCCUCCGCGCCAAAUUCGUGUGGGGCGCCCUCUAGCAUAACAUAUCUUUCUCCCAACAACUAUGAUUAACGAAAUAAAACCCAGGUGAAAUAAAACCAUGAUUAAAACAAAUGAACAUAAAUGUUAAAUGUUAUAUGUGUUUGGGGGGGGGCGUGGCGAUCACGUGCAGCAGAGCUUAUGGUUGCGUGCAUUGCAAGGCAAUGGGCGUAAAAUCAGUCCAAACUCUCCGGUGCAAAGGAACGAAGAAAAGCAGCAGGAGGAGAAGAAAGCCCUGUAAAGAGGUAACGUUAUGUAUUUCCAUCUCACAUUGGAUGCUUUAGGAUUAAUACUGUGGUCGUUUACACAUUUAGUGUUAGCCUUGUUAGCCAAACUGCUUUAAGACUUAAGGAGCCUUCCAGCUAGCAUACUGAUGCUGACACAUUAUAAUCACUAAUCAAAAUACACCUCUUCAGGGCUCCACAUUGAGACUUGUAUGGGACACUCAUUACCUCCAAAAUACUGAUUUUAUUUUACCGAUUUGAAACGAAUACAUUGUUCAUAAGUGACAUUAGCCAGUGUCAGCAGCUUCGUACCUAGCAAGCAAGCCAUUAUUGCCAUAAUUUAUAACGGUUUAAAUUUAACAUUAGGUAGUUAACGUUAAAUAUCACAAAUUGUGUAACGUUAAAUGUUUUAAACAUGUUCAAACACCUUAAUUACCUAUUUUAUUUGAACAAUAUUACAACUCAUCUUCAUUGUCAAAGGGAAACGUGCCUAAAUAAAUGUGAUUAAGCUGUACCCAGACUUUUGUUCACAGACAAGUGAAACGCUGAUGUAACGUUAACUUAACGUUACUUCUCCAAAUGACAAGUGCCUUAAAUCGUUAAUGUCGAGCCAAUCUCAUCAGAUUAGCUUUCCACAUCUUACAUUUUUCACCCGAUAGUAACUUUUUUAUUUUCUUUAAUUGCAUUUAAUAUGUCUGGUUUAUCUGUUGGUUUUAUUACUUAUCCGUUUGUGCUAUAUCUGUGCUGGUUUUACUUUAAAGUGUCUUUGAGUACCAUGUAAAGCAGUCUAUAAAUAAAAUGUAGUAUUAUUACUGAACAAUUUUGUCAACAAAAGGUAUUCUAUUUUAAUGUACAAUCUGGUAUAAAAAUGCAUUCCACACAAUAUGUUGUCUGGAUUGUAUUUAUAGUAAUACAAAUAGUAGAUACAUGUGAAUAAAUGUGUAAUGUGGUGUUGAAUGCUAAUAUUAUUUUAUAUUUUAAAAUUGCCAGAUGCACUCCAGAAACUUUUGCAGAGACCCUCACCUCCUAAAGAAAAGCUGAUCCCCAGGUUCACCUCUCUCUGAACCUUCUGCAGGUGACGAGACAUGUAGGAUCACACGUAGCACAGCAGCCAGUGAAACACAGAGCAUGCAGCAGGUGAAGGAGCAACAGACACAACCUGCCCUAAUUCUACACUACAGCCUGCACACACUGUCUACCCAACAAGUUCUGAUAUCCAAGAGUCAGUCAGGGGAGAACCAAUUGAUCCUGCUGACUGGCCAACCCUGUCUGGGAUAGUGGGAACUGAAUUAGUCAGUAGAGGACCAAAUCAUACCAAUCCAGAUUUCACCUUUCCCAAACAACAGGAUGGAUGAAAUUUCUAUUUUUACCUAUUUAUUUUUAGUUUGUUUAUAUUUAUUGUUCAUUUCACUUUUGCACUCAUAGCACAUAGGCCUACAUUUUAUAGUAUUUCAAAUUUUAGUUUGACUAAAAAAUAAAAUGUUCUGAGACCAUUAUAUUGCUCGUAGUACAUUUAUCAAAUAUAAAUGUACAGUGUAAUACAUAGAACAUAGUGUACCUAUAAUGUUAUAUCAGGGUCAGUACUGGCAGGUCACAGGCAAGGAGGGAGGACUCAGGCGUGGAGUUUUACAAAAAUAAAAGGACUUUAAUUGUCAAGGAAUCAAAAAUCAAACUCGAAACCACUCCACCCAAGAAAAAGGGGAAGGAGGGAAAAAGAUCUUAGCAAAGAAAACAACAUGAACUAUGACUUACGUGGCAUAACUACGACAGGACCUGUAGACGACAGUAGACAAUGACGCGACAAGAGACAAGAGACUCACAGGGCUUAAAUACACAAGGGAGGUGCAGGUGAUUGGACACAGCUGGAAACGAUCAGGCACGGCAGACAAUCACAAGGGAAGACAGGACAAGGCAGGAAGUGAAGUUAACCAGGAACACAAGAGACAUGAAACUACAAAAUAAAACAAGGCAAGAACCCAAACCGUGACAAUCAGAAUGAUAAUAUGGAAUGGCUCGGGCCACCGAGGGGGGGUCUCUUUUGUUUGGACAAGAAAUUUCUCAGUGUAAACAAUGAAGGACCAUGAACUUUACGUUGGCCAUUUCAAAAGCAUUGCGAGUAUACAGACAAAGACAACAAACGUUCGCAUGAAGUCGGCGGAGCUUUACACCCUUGUAAAUUUGUUAAAUUGCAAAUCCUUUAAUGUAAGGAUUUUUCACAUAUAUAUUAGCUUGCACAAACACUUCAUCUAUUUGUUCCUUGCCCGGCGCGUCUGUCAAAUUUUUGAACCCAUUGUGUCCCAUGAGUCAAAAAGUUUGCGCUCUUGCCCGUUACUGUUGAUACUCACACACGCGCUGCAGUCUGUCUGCUUGUAUCACACAGCUGAACCAUAAUAGCUAAACUGAUAACUAGAUAACUGAAGUCACAUGACGCAGCUAUGCUUUCUGUCAACAGACCAACAUCAUAAAACCCAAAUAAUAAAAAACUACUACUAAUAUCUACUACCAACACUGAAGCUAAUAAUACAAGUAUGCAACUGCUAUUAAUACUAAAAUGACCCCUACUAGUAGUAGUACUAAAAUACUACUACUAGUAGUGACCCUGCAACUGAUAUUACUCAAGUUCUAAAGGCAAACUGCAUACAAUAUAGUUAAAAAGUGCUAGAAUUAAGAAAGAUAAAUUUCUCUGCAACCUUUGACAGCACUGACAAUAUUCUGAUUGUUCUGUAAUCACUGGCUUCAAUGCGGUGAGAUGGAUAUGAAGACAAUGUAUAUGAGCUACAAGUAAAAACAAAAAUGAUUAUUUCAAACAAAACAUGUGUAGAAGACAGUGAACAUUUUGAUGGAGUAAGAUGGAGUAAGAAAUCAUGUUUAUGAAGGAUGGGUCAUGACCGAAAGAACUUAAAAAGCAUAAUAACUGUCACAUAUUUCUGUUUAAGAGCUCAGCUACAUCAACGGCAGGGAUUCUCAAAGUUCUACCCCAUAGAGGAAUGUGGAUUGACAGCUAGCAUGCAAAUUCAACAGUGUAUUCAAAAUGCAGCUUUCCAGCCAUUAUUGGUUGAAUGCUUCUAUUUUGAUUAUUUUUCCAUAUGUCAGUCUUGUUGAAAUGCAGCCAAGCUAGCAUCGGAGAACUGAUUACUUCAUACAAAACCUCCUUUCCUGACUUGGCGUGUGGUGUACUUCAAUACCUCUCUAAGCCCAACUUUUAAAUCUGCUUGUUGCAAGAAGGGAAAUUGGUUUUCAUGGCACGCAAUUAUUGAUUUUAUGAAUAGUGUGAUGCGCUGGGAGCCGCAAGAUUGGUGGUUCGAAUCCUAGCUGCUCCAUGUGCCAUAUCGAUGUGUCCCUGAGCAAGACACCCAACCUUAAUUGCUCCCCAGGAAAAAUGUAA